GACGAACGCUGGCGGCGUGCUUAACACAUGCAAGUCGAACGGAAAGGCCCUGCUUUUGUGGGGUGCUCGAGUGGCGAACGGGUGAGUAACACGUGAGUAACCUGCCCUUGACUUUGGGAUAACUUCAGGAAACUGGGGCUAAUACCGGAUAGGAGCUCCUGCUGCAUGGUGGGGGUUGGAAAGUUUCGGCGGUGGGGGAUGGACUCGCGGCUGAGCAGCUUGUUGGUGGGGUAGUGGCUUACCAAGGCUUUGACGGGUAGCCGGCCUGAGAGGGUGACCGGCCACAUUGUGACUGAGAUACGGCCCCGCCUCCUCCGGGAGUCAGCCGUGGGGACUAUUGCCCAAUGGGCGGAAUCCUGCUGCAGCCCCGCCGCGUGCGGGAUGACGGCCUUCGGGUUGUCACCCGCUUUCGCCUGUGACGAAGCGUGCGUGACGGUAAUGGGUAAAGAAGCACCGGCUAACUACGUG
rnacentral:rRNA from 1 species